rnacentral:tRNA from 1 species
GGCGCUAUCGUCUAUCGGUUAGGACGUCGGCCUUUCACGCCGGUAAGACGGGUUCGAUUCCCGUUAGCGCUA